rnacentral:rRNA from 1 species
UACGAAGGGGCUAGCGUUGCUCGGAAUCACUGGGCGUAAAGCGCACGUAGGCGGACUCUUAAGUCGGUGGUGAAAUCCUGGAGCUCAACUCCAGAACUGCCUUUGAUACUGAGGAUCUUGAGUACGGGAGAGGUGAGUGGAACUGCGAGUGUAGAGGUGAAAUUCGUAGAUAUUCGCAAGAACACCAGUGGCGAAGGCGGCUCACUGGCCCGUAACUGACGCUGAGGCACGAAAGCGUGGGGAGCAAACAGG